CACAGAAGAUCUCUUGCGGGGGGGGUGCCUGAACUUGAGAUUCCUGGAGAGACCCUGGGCACUCCAGCCUGGCAUGGAGAUCCACAGAAGACUUUCCAGAGCCACAGAAAGCUGCUAGAUCUUCCCAAAGCACCAGAGCACCUGAAGAGUUAGAGUUGAUGCAACUGUCUACCUUACUUCUGGAUGACCUAUAAAGAAUGAAAAAUAAUUGGAUAAUGCACUUAUUUUGUAAACUGAGAAAUGUGUCACAGCUGGGCAAAUAUUGCUGAGUCAGCCCUUGUCCUUUUAACCCUUUCACUUGCAUUAAAAAUUCUCAUUUUCAUACUUCCAACGGACUUCUUAAGAUAGAUUUGAAAACAAGAGCCUUUGGCCAGAAGGAGCAGGACUCCCCAGUUACCGCAGUCCCGGCUUGGCUGGAAGGCUGUCUGCGGAUGGACGGGAUUGCCGCAGCCAGGAGAAUGCAGGAUGAAGGCCGAAGCCUGCAGGCUGAGGAAACACCUCUGGAAACCUGCCCGACGGAAACCCAGAACGGCGUGGGGACACUUUCGUGCCACAGAUUGCCUGGAAUCGGUCCAAAAACAUCUUCU
ensembl:lncRNA